GAAAUAAACGGGUAUAACGGGGAUAUUUUUAUGCCGGAGUUAAAUGUACACUACUUAUAGUGAAUAUUUUUGAUGGAUUACUCACAUAUUUUAUAUGAUUUAGGAUUAUUUCACAAUGCUACUGUAGGUUAGUAACUUUGACUAGAUAUUUUUCUAUUUUUAUUAUGGGUUCAUGUUUAAUGUGAGCAUCUGCCAAAAACUAUACACUAAAGCACAAAAGGCAAUGGAUUUGCUGUAUAUCAAAACUAAAAGAAAUACUGGAAAUACUGGAUGGAUUUGAUGGACUCAUGCUUAUCAAUUUUUAUGACCAUUCAAUCUGUGAAUAUUUCGGCUUGUAUGGUCAUGAAAAAAUAGUCGCACUGUCACGCUUUGGUUAGAGAGCCCACCAUGUGAUCAAUGACGUUUCAAUCUUGAUGAGAAGGGAUGCACAUUCCCGAAUGCAUCCUUCCUCAUGAUAUGUUGAGUUAAACAUGUUCAUUGCACAUAAAAAUGUCACAGAAAGAGAUGCAGUGCCAAAUACCGACCGCAUGCAGUGCGCGAGCAUGACUAAACAAUAGGUAUUUGAACAUAUGGUAUUUAAACAUGUGGUAUUUAAACAUGUGGCAUUUAAACAUGUGGCAUUUAAACAUGUGGUAUUUGAACAUAUGGUAUUUAAACAUGUGGUAUUCAAACAUGUGGCAUUUAAACAUGUGGUAUUUAAACAUUUGGUAUUUAAACAUGUGGUAUUUAAACAUGUGGUAUUUAAACAUGUGGUAUUUCCAAAAGACAUUUAAUUCGGCUUUGCAAGACACUGUGCUUGGUAUUUCGUAAACUAACAUUAUAUAGCAAGCACGACAUUAACUGUUCAAUAAAACAGCGUUCAUGUACAUAAAUUGUGUGAACUCAAAUCAUGAAGUAUACGAUUUUCUGUCAUUCUUGGUUUGGUCGUUGAAGAGAUAAGACGUAUUUUUUGUGCUCUCGACGUCGCGCUCAGUAUAUAAAUUGAACUGCGCGGGCAAAAAAACGCUCAGUUGACCGAUAGACUUUGACAAAGACAGACGUUAAUUUUGUGAUUUCUGAAAAAAAUUUGACAUGAUUUUUUUUUAUGAUGACUAUGUCUCAGUUGACUUUUGAACGUUAACGAAUAUGGACGUACUUUCGUGAGCUCUGACUACAGUAUCGAUGAAAAGUUUUGAGUUUAACUGACUUGACUUCGCGUUAUAGAAUAGCGACUUGGUACUCGGGUUAUUGAAUGACUGGUGGACUGUAGUGUUAGGUUAUUGUCAUGAGAUAACAACUUGACUUUGACUUGAGUUGUGUGCAAUUAAAUUUGUGUUGGGGUGUCAAGCGAUUGACUUCACUUGAACUCUGGACGUCGGAGUGAUCAGAUGUGUCUUUGAAGCUGGUGUCUACGAAAACGUGAGUACAAACUUUUGUGUUUGACUGUUGACGUGUCUCACUGUGUAUGAUGAUUUAUGAUGAUUUUAAGCGGCUGGCGUAUUAUUGUUGAGUUGUUGUACUGAUAGAGAAGUGAAAUGCGUUGGGUAUAAAUUACUCAGUACUUAUACAGUGUCGAUAAUAUGGUGUGAUGAGAGAUGAUGGUGUUACAAAAUAUUUACUGAGCUACUUUGGGAAACGAACCGAUGAUGUAAAAACAUUGGAAACAUAUUUCAUGAAAAUGCAUGUGCUUAUAUGUACUAAAUAUGAUAUUGCUUUACUUGUAUUUGCAUGUCGUUAACAUUUCUAUUUUAUUUCAGUAUGCUGUGGUGAGUAUUGCAGAUUUAACUUGUAUGUGUGGUUUUUAGUUAACGAUGCUUAAUGAAAACUAUUAUUGUACACUUAGUAUGGAAUGAUGUGAAUGAUGAUAUGAUGGGUAGAAUUAAUCAGUGCUUGUGUCUAGAAAUGCUGAAUGUUUAUUGAAAAGGCUAAAUGCUAGCCAGUACUAAGAGUUGAGCUACCGUGGGAAUGUGAAACGAACUGAUGGUGUAAUAUGAUGGUGUAUUGACAUACUUUUCUUAUAUGUACUAAAUAUGAUAUUGCUUUACUUGUAUUUGCAUGCUGUUAACAUUUCUAUUUUGUUCCAGUGUGCUGUGGUGAGUACUGUAGAUAUUACUUGAUUUUUAGUGUCUAUGAAUGCUGAUGUAUGAUAGCUAUAGCAUGAGCUCAAUGCUAACCAGUAUUAUGAGUUGAUGUAUUGUGGUGAUGCUAAUCGAACUGAUGAUGUAACAUGAUGGUGAACACUUACUGAAUGCAUAAAAUUUAUUGAAUUGCGUUUGUUGAUAUGCACUAUAAUAUGAUAAAUGUAUUGCUUAACAUGUAUAUUUCAUGAUGUUUAAUUUCAGUGGGCUGUGGUGAGUACUGUAGAUUGUAUUGCCUAUGUAUAGAAUUCAAUAAAAGAUUAUGACUGAAAACUGCUUUUGAUUCUUUUUGAACAGUUUUAGGGACUAUAAGUCUAUAACAAAAAUAUGUCGGUUGGCGUUCAUACAGCAAUGUUUUGAGUAGUACAGAAAUGUUUCUACGUUUGUGGUCGCCAGUUGUCUGUGAUGUGUAAAGUGAAAAAUACACGGAGCUUUGAAUACAACAAACAGUUACUGUUUUAACACAGAUUGUGUGCUAUGCAUUUUUCGAUGUAGAUCUUUUUCAGAUUUGACAUGAAAUGUAGACCUGACAUUUGAACAGAGCUGGGAAACGAAAAGGUAAGUUUGUUAAAUUUCACAAUGAACACUUGUGUUUUGACAAAAGAAGAGAUAAAGUGAGUUUUGUCAUCAUCAUGGUUUCUUUCAGAGUAUAACUCGUGAACAGAUGAAAACCUAUUUUUUGCUAGAUUUUCAUGUACUCUUUUUUUGGAUGAUAAGUAUGUCAGUAACUCAAAAUCAUACGGCUAGUACAGUAUGGAACAUGAAUGCUUUGUUCAGAUUUUCAGAUGUGUGCUGGCAGUUCAAGUCUGGCAGCUGAAGUGAACAGUCAUGAUUUUGUUGGAGCUCCAACAAUAUGCUAGAAGGUAAGUAACUAUGUUUAAUUUGCAUUGCAUGUUUUCCUAUGUUUCAGACUUUAAACAGAGAUGUCAUGAUGACUGGAGUUGAGCACAGGGCAGUGAUAAAGUAAAAGGUAAGUACUUUUGACUGAAUGUUUGUUCUAUGCAUGUUUUGCUAUAAUACAUUUCAGGAGUGCUUAUGCAGUGAUGAUUUGACAGUUGAGUGAAAGUGGAGCCAUGCAGUCUUGAUUUUGAAGCUUCUCAACAAGCCUUGAAGAUACGUUUGGCAGUGAAGGAUUGAAAGCUGACAUGAACAGAAAAAAGAUGCUGUUGGCAGUGAUGGGUUUGGAAGCUGGCAUGAACAGAAAAGCAAACAUAUGGUGAGUACAAAAUAGUUUUUAUAUGGUAUGUUUUGUGCAUGCUUCUAUGUUUCAGAUGUACUUGCAGUCAACAACGAAGAUGAUUCAAAAAGAGAAACAUUGUUGUGAUGUGAAUAAAACGUUCAAAUAGGGUAAGUGUAACAAUUGUGGUAGUUUGAUUUGUACCAUGUGUGUAUUGCUAUGUUUCAGAUUGCACAUGCAGAGAUGGUUUCCUACUGGGUGUCAAUAGAAGGGACACGAGUAAAAACGAUUUCAACUGCUAAACCACAAUUCAAGAAGUUGGGUAAGUUUUAAGUCAUUGAUUUGAGGUGUACAAUGUGUUCUUUACUUUGUUGCAGAUUCGAGUCACUGGUUUACACAUGGAAGAAGAUUUCCACCUCUGUGACACAUCUUUACAAAAGCAAGAGGGCCAGAUGUCGAGCAGUACAGAUGUGUUUCUUGGAGGGAGCUCCCAAACCGUGAGUACAAGUAUUUGAUAUUUAGAAGUCUAUGUGAAAGAUAAUAGCAAUGGUAGAAUCUAUCAGUACUUGUGUUUAGAAAUGCUGAUGUGUGACGGUUAACUGAAAAGGGUAAAUGCUAGCCAGUACUUACACCUGAGCAAACGUGGGAUGUCGAACUAACUGAUGAUGUACUAUGAUGGUGAACACUUACUUUGUGUAUCGAAAUGCUUUUGUUGAUAUGAGUGUGAGCUUAAUACAGCAAUGUUUGAGUAAUACAAAAAAUGUAUGUACUCUUUUGUGGUCGCCAGUUGUCUGUGAUAUGUAUAGUAAAAAAAACACAACACAAAGCUAUGAAGCAUACAAUUGUUUUAAGAUUUUAUCAAUGAUUGUGUACUAUGCAUGUUUUGAUUUAGUUCGUUUCAGAUAUGACAUGACCUGAAUAUUUGACAGUCGAACGGAGCUGAGCAUUGCAGAAAAGGUCUCAUAGUAGCCUCAACAGUGAAUAAGGAUAUCAACUGCUGUGACUAAACUGUUGAAGAAGGGUAAGUGGAACAAUGUGUUUGUUUUAUAAGUACCAUGUAUGCUUUAUUUUGCUCUGUUUCAGAGUAGACAUACAAACAGUGUCUUGCUUUGCAUGCUAUUUUUUAGGUCUCUCAUGCAGUGAGGGAAAAGAAGAAGAUUUCAAUAAAGAAUCACUGCUGCAACUCAGCUCUUUAAACAAGGUAAGUGUUUACUAUGUUGUAUACAAAAUGUUUCUCUUUCUUACUAUGUUUCAGGUUAACAUUGCAGAGAUGUUUUGACAGCUUGUGACAGAAAAGAAAUUCAGCAGCUGUGUCUUGACUGUAGCCACAAGGUAAGUCGAAACAAAUAUACUGGUUUGUAUGUUGUGUUGUUAUGCCCUUCUAUGUUUCAGACUUACAUUGCUGUGACUGUUCCACAGUGGGUCAAAAAAGAGACGAAUACAGGUUUCAAGAAGAAAAUUGGCUGUUAAAACUCUGCACAAAAUAUGAGGUAAGUGAACUACUCUUUUGGUUUGUGUUGUGCUUUGUUCUGCUUAACUAUUUUUCAGAUUUGAGUGGUGGGUCGUUACAGAGCAGACUUUUUGACAAGUGAGAAGUUGAGAAACAGAGAAUGAUUCAAGAUCAGCUAGGUAAGUCUUGAUUAUUAUGCAUUGCUAAAUGUUGUUUUUUAUUUCAGUAUGGCUGUGGUAAGUACACUAACUUUCUAUAAUUUAAUAUUGAACUGCUUUGAUAACUUGUAUCCUGCUAUGCAAUGCUUAAUAUAUAUUUUUCAUUUCAGUAUGGCUGUGGUAAGUACACAAACUUUCUUUAAUUUUCACAUUGAACUGUUUUGAUGACUUGUAUCCUGCUAUGCAAAAUGUCUUUUUUUUAUUUCAGUAGCCUGUUGGUAAGUACGCUAACUUUCUAUAAUUUCAUAGUGAAUUGUUUUGAUGACCUGUAUUCUGCAUUGUAAAAUGUGUUUCUUUUUCAUUUCAGUAUGGCUGUGGUAAGUACAAUUGCCUUUCAUAUUGAACUGUUUUGAUGACCUGUAUUUUGCAUUGUAAAAUGUGUUUCUUUUUCAUUUCAGUAUGGCUGUGGUAAGUACACAAACUUUCUUUAAUUUUCAUAUUGAACUGUUUUGAUGACUUGUAUUCUGCUAUACAAAAUGUGUUUUUAUCAGUUCAGUUGCCUGAUGGUAAGUACAAUUUGCUUCUUUAAAUUGCAUGUUGAAAUAUAUUUGAUGACUUUUGUUCUGCUAUGCUCUUUUUCAUUUCAGUUGGGCAGAUGUAAGUACACUUCAUUUAUGUAAAAACUGAAUAUGAUUGUUGUGCUAUACAAAAUGUGCUUUUCUCAAUUUCAGGUCAGCAAUGGUAAGUAGAUUGUGUUUCUUUAUGUAUAAUUUUGUAUACAUAUUGUUUUUUUCAUCAUAGCAUGUCUUUUAUAUUUAUGCUUUGUGUAAGUAAAAUGUUCAUAAAUCAUUCUUAUCUUUAAACUAAAAAUGUAUUUUGAUAUGCAAAAUGUCUGUAUGAUUUCAGUUGCCAGAGGUGAGUACCAUAACAGUUGAAAAGUUAGUUUUGUUUAGUUAAAGUUUUGGUUCACAGUUUUGUUUGUUAUUUGGCAAAAUUUACAUGUAUGCAUUGAGUCUUGAUUUCAGCUCGAUUGUGGACUGAAGAAGAUUGCCAGCAGAGGGAUUGGAUACAAAAUACAAAGUAAGUACUGAGUUUCUUACUAAAAGUUUUGAGUUGUAUUCAUUGUGUGUAAAUAUGCUAUGAUUGCUAUGAACAUGACUUUUGUAUUUCAGCGAAGACAACAUAGGUAAGUAAAAUUGUUAUCUGUUUCAUGUUUACUGUUACAGUUCAAUAUUGUGUUUAUAAAUUGUAAGUUGUACAAACACAUUCAAAAGUUUCUGAUUAUGCUUUCGAUUUCAUUUUAGCUUUACUGCUGGACGAGUGUUCUCAACUACUAGACGAGUCAGGUUUACUACCAGGCGAGCAGUGACAACAAGGCGCCUUUGUGGAAACAACACAACAAAAAACUCUACUGCAAGACGAGCAGUGACAGCAAGGCGCCUGAACAUGCAACACAAUACAAAAAAUGCCAAUAUCCAAACCUUGAUGUGGACACCGAGUAGUCAAUACAUACGUGUGGCGUAUAGCUGCGACAAAACCGUGGGUCCAUCGCACCGAUAACUUGAACAUUGGCCCGUGUAUGGACAUCAGUGCAACUUUGUGAAUCCAUGUAACUUUGUGAAUCCAUGUAACAUUGCGAAUGUGUGUCGAUCGAAAAAUGUGUACAUUCUGCACUGAAACGAACUCGGUGUUGCAAGUGGCAAGUGUUGACAGUGUGUAUGUUUAUGUUUAUGUUUUUACAUGAAAAAUAAAGGAGAUUGUUGUUUUA